rnacentral:rRNA from 1 species
AUUGAACGCUGGCGGCAGGCCUAACACAUGCAAGUCGAACGAGCGGCGGGGGGGUGAGUAAUGUAUAGGGACUGCCCGUAAGCUGGGGAUAACUACUGGAAACGGUGUCUAAAACCGCACACUGUGGGCUUCGCCUUUUGGGAUUAGCUAGUGGGUAAGGUAAUUGCCUACCUGGGCGAGGAUCCCUAGCGGGCCUGAGAGGAUGAUCGGCCACACUGGACCUGAGACACGGCCCAGACUCCAACGGAGGCAGCAGUGGGGAAUAUUGCACAAUGGGCGAAAGCCGGAGGCAGCCAUGCCGCGUGUAUGAAGAAGGCCUUAGGGUUGUAAAGUACUUUCAGUCGGGAGGCGUUACCGGAAGAAGAAGCACCGGCUAACUCCGUGCCAGCAGCCGCGGUAAUUC